CCUACGGGAGGCAGCAGUGAGGAAUAUUGGUCAAUGGACGGAAGUCUGAACCAGCCAUGCCGCGUGCAGGAUGACGGCUCUAUGAGUUGUAAACUGCUUUUGUACGAGAAUAAUAGUUCUUACGUGUAGGGAUUUGAAUGUAUCGUACGAAUAAGGAUCGGCUAACUCCGUGCCAGCAGCCCCGGUAAUACGGAGGAUUCGAGCGUUAUCCGGAUUUAUUGGGUUUAAAGGGGCGGUAGGCGGUUCGAUAAGUUAGGGGGGAAAUCCCGGGGUAAAACGCGGGCACUGCCACUGAUACUGUCGGGCUAGAGUUUAGUUGCGGUAGGCGGAAUGUAUGGUGUAGCGGUGAAAUGCAUAGAGAUCAUACAGAACACCGAUUGCGAAGGCAGCUUACCAAACUACGACUGACGUUGAGGCACGAAAGCGUGGGGAGCAAACAGGAUUAGAUACCCCUGUAGUC
rnacentral:rRNA from 1 species